GACGGGGGCCCGCACAAGCAGCGGAGCAUGUGGUUUAAUUCGAAGCAACGCGAAGAACCUUACCAGGUCUUGACAUCCAGUUAAGCUUGUAGAGAUACAAGGUGUGCUUGCACAAACUGAGACAGGUGGUGCAUGGUUGUCGUCAGCUCGUGUCGUGAGAUGUUGGGUUAAGUCCCGCAACGAGCGCAACCCUUAUUUUCAGUUACUAACGAGUAAAGUUGAGGACUCUGAAGAGACUGCCGGGGACAACUCGGAGGAAGGUGGGGACGACGUCAAAUCAUCAUGCCCCUUAUGACCUGGGCUACACACGUGCUACAAUGGCCACCACAGAGAGGUGCGAACCCGCAAGGGGGAGCGGAUCUCAAAAAAGUGGUCCCAGUUCGGAUUGUGGGCUGCAACCCGCCCACAUGAAGUCGGAGUUGCUAGUAAUCGCGGAUCAGCAUGCCGCGGUGAAUACGUUCUCGGGCCUUGUACACACCGCCCGUCACACCAUGGGAGUUGGGAGUGCCCAAAGUCGGUGAGGUAACCGCAAGGAGCCAGCCGCCUAAGGCAAGACCAAUGACUGGGGUGAAGUCGUAACAAGGGUAGCCGUAUCGGAA
rnacentral:rRNA from 1 species